GAUGAACGCUGACAGAAUGCUUAACACAUGCAAGUCGAUGGGGAAGUGGUGCUUGCACCAUGGUAACCAUGGCGGACGGGUGAGUAACGCGUAAGGAACUUACCUGCGGGACCGGGAUAACAGCAGGAAACUGCUGACAAGACCGGAUAAGGUCAUUAAGCUGCAUAGCUUAGUGAUGAAAGGAGACGCCUGCGGAGAGCCUUGCGUCCUAUUAGCUAGUUGGAGGGGUAACGGCCCACCAAGGCGAAGAUAGGUAGCCGGCCUGAGAGGGUGGACGGCCACAAGGGGACUGAGAUACGGCCCUUACUCCUACGGGAGGCAGCAGUGGGGAAUAUUGGACAAGGGGGGCAACCCUGAUCCAGCAAUUCUGUGUGCACGAAGACGGUUUUCGGAUUGUAAAGUGCUUUCAGCAGGGAAGAAGGAAGUGACGGUACCUGCAGAAGAAGCGACGGCUAAAUACGUG
rnacentral:rRNA from 1 species